AUUGCUUCUCAGCCUUUCGACUAAGAUCAAGUGCAGUAUCUGUUCUUAUCAGUUUAAUAUCUGAUACCUCCUCUAUCCGAGGACAAUAUAUUUAAUGGAGUUUUAGAGCAGGGAGUUGGAAUAGGAGCUUACUCCGUCCCCUCCAGACAUCGACCUCGUAUUGUGGCACCUCCAAGAAUGGUGCACCCCCU
rnacentral:snRNA from 1 species